UAAGGAAUAUUGGACAAUGGUGGCAACACUGAUCCAGCCAUGCCGCGUGAAGGAUGAAGGCCCUAUGGGUUGUAAACUUCUUUUAUAUGAUAAAAAACCACUUUACGUGUAAAGUGCUGAUUGUCGUAAGAAUAAGGGUCGGCUAACUCCGUGCCAGCAGCCGCGGUAAUACGGAGGACCCAAGCGUUAUUCGGAUUUAUUGGGUUUAAAGGGUGCGUAGGCGGGAUAGUAAGUCAGAGGUGAAAUCCCACAGCUUAACUGUGGAACUGCCUUUGAUACUGCUAACCUUGAGUACAGAUGAUGUGGGCGGAAUAUGACAUGUAGCGGUGAAAUGCUUAGAUAUGUCAUAGAACACCGAUUGCGAAGGCAGCUCACAAAACUGUAACUGACGCUGAGGCACGAAAGCAUGGGGAUCGAACAGG
rnacentral:rRNA from 1 species